UACGUAGGCCCCGAGCGUUAUCCGGAAUUAUUGGGCGUAAAGAGCGUGUAGGUGGCGCUACAAGUCGGUCGUUAAAUCUCACCGCCCAACGGUGAGGCCGCGAGCGAUACUGUAGUGCUUGAGUCUUACAGGGGUGAGCAGAAUUCUUGGAGUAGGGGUGAAAUCCGUUGAUACCAAGAGGAAUACCAAUGGCGAAGGCAGCUCACUGGGUAAGUACUGACACUGAGACGCGAAAGCGUGGGGAGCGAAC
rnacentral:rRNA from 1 species